AUUAGCGGCGGACGGGUGAGUAACACGUGGGUAACCUGCCUGUAAGAUUGGGAUAACUCCGGGAAACCGGAGCUAAUACCGGAUAACAUUUUGAACCGCAUGGUUCAAAAUUGAAAGAUGGUUUCGGCUAUCACUUACAGAUGGACCCGCGGCGCAUUAGCUAGUUGGUGAGGUAACGGCUCACCAAGGCAACGAUGCGUAGCCGACCUGAGAGGGUGAUCGGCCACACUGGGACUGAGACACGGCCCAGACUCCUACGGGAGGCAGCAGUAGGGAAUCUUCCGCAAUGGACGAAAGUCUGACGGAGCAACGCCGCGUGAACGAUGAAGGCCUUCGGGUCGUAAAGUUCUGUUGUUAGGGAAGAACAAGUACCAGAGUAACUGCUGGUACCUUGACGGUACCUAACCAGAAAGCCACGGCUAACUACGUGCCAGCAGCCGCGGUAAUACGUAGGUGGCAAGCGUUGUCCGGAAUUAUUGGGCGUAAAGCGCGCGCAGGUGGUUUCUUAAGUCUGAUGUGAAAGCCCACGGCUCAACCGUGGAGGGUCAUUGGAAACUGGGGAACUUGAGUGCAGAANAGGAAAGUGGAAUUCCAAGUGUAGCGGUGAAAUGCGUAGAGAUUUGGAGGAACACCAGUGGCGAAGGCGACUUUCUGGUCUGUAACUGACACUGAGGCGCGAAAGCGUGGGGAGCGAACAGGAUUAGAUACCCUGGUAGUCCACGCCGUAAACGAUGAGUGCUAAGUGUUA
rnacentral:rRNA from 1 species